rnacentral:rRNA from 1 species
ACAGCAGUAGCCGCGGGAAUACAGAGGGUGCGAGCGUUAAUCGGAUUUACUGGGCGUAAAGCGUGCGUAGGCGGCUAAUUGAGUCGGAUGUGAAAUCCCUGAGCUUAACUUAGGAAUUGCAUUCGAUACUGGGAAGCUAGAGUAUGGGAGAGGAUGGUAGAAUUCCAGGUGUAGCGGUGAAAUGCGUAGAGAUCUGGAGGAAUACCGAUGGCGAAGGCAGCCAUCUGGCCUAAUACUGACGCUGAGGUACGAAAGCAUGGGGAGCAAACAGGAUUAGAUACCCCAGUAGUCCCUGUCUCUUAUAC